GCACCUGCGUGUAUGUAUGUCUGAUUGCAUGUCUGUGUGUCUCUGUUGGGUAAGUUGGGAGAUCCAUAUAGGAUGACUCUUCUCUGUGCCUCUUGCCAACCCCCCCCCCCCCCCCGAGACUGGUACAGGAGAAAGAGGGUCUUGGCCUGGGAGUGGAGGGGGUUGGGCAUUCAGGGUGGGGUUGGAAGCUGGUGUGAGGGCUGGAUGGUGCUGCUUUGCCUGGGGCCUGGAAUGAGCUAACAGCAGCUACAAUUGUAACGCAUCUCUGGGAGAACGGAGUCUGGGGACCUAUCUGGAAACUAGCUGCCCUCUGGCUGCUUAGCCCAGUGCAAAGAGGCAGGGCCUGGCUUUGGGGAGAGAACUUCUGGGAGGACCCCUCCGUCCUCCUCGACGCCUUCCCCAGUCCUUAAGGGGUGUACCCCGUCCAUCCCUCUGAAAGUCUAGUCAUGCAUCAGCCUCGCUCAGGGCCGGGCUGGACUGGGAAGGAUGGGGGCGUUGGUUGUUCGGGGCUCCCCUCUUCUCUGGCCCCAUGAGCUCGCUGCUGCCCUACCCGCGGCCGACAGCAGAGGGGGCCCUCGGCCUAGGGAUGGAGGUCGGGGCUAGCCGGACCGGAGGACGAGCUGGGGGCGGGGCGAGGUAUGGAAUUUUAGCCGGAGGGACUGGAAGAGGGUGCGGGGGGGGGGGCGGGGGGGAGGAGCGGGAGGUGCGGAGAGAGGAGAGGAGACCUGACUUGUGAACCGGGGGAGGGGGCGGGGCUCCUUCGGUAACUUUAAGGGCUCCGACGGGCUUGUGAGCGCCACAGCCUCCGGGCUAUAUGUAAAUGACACAAAUUACUAUGCAACCUGCAGCUUGUUUCUGAGUCGGGAACUUGGGUCAUCUUCCUAACACAGUUGGGGCAGGUCAAGGGGAAGAUGGCUGUGAACUCCUUCCCCCCAGGCCCACGGCUUCCUUCCAGGGGGACAGGAGAGCAUUUGCUGCCUUCUCAGGUCACUCAGGGAAGAAUAACCUCUGGACUGUCGGCUGGAACUUCCUUUCGGAGAGUCAGUUUCGCCCCCUGCAAUUGGGCAUGGUGACGCGGCCCUAUAGCACCUCACCCAGCGAAGAGGGCUAGAGGUGGACAGCGAAAUCCUGCAGGCUGCUUUGAGGCCGGGGACCGGACAACACGACCUCCACCCACGUUUUGGCCCUAGUCCACAAGCCCCUUCCCUCGCCUUUCUUUUGGCAGAGGCGGCCAGGAGCAAGGAUUAGGCUAGCUGUUGCUAGGGGGCGUGGUCGGCGGUUGCAGGGCUCAAGGGACGUUGCUGAGCAACGCUGGGCGGGGCUCACGUUGCUAGGCCCGAGUAGGAGUCCUCAGGGACCGGAAUGGCCACCCAGCUCCCCUCGGCUUCAGUGGAGGGCGCCCCACGAAGCUGCUCUCUCGCGACUUUCUCCGGGUCUCAGCUUCCCUCAGGCUGGACGCAGUUUCUGAGGGUCCUUCCGGUUCACACCCUCCGAGACUCCGUGAUCCUCUGGGCUAUGGAGCGAGGAACCCUGGGUCUUUGUGCACGUGUCUGUUUGAGCGGUAGCGUCUACAAAUUUACAUAUAUCUGCAUGUCAUUAACAUAGAGGCGGGGCCGGAACUUGUUUGGGCAACUAUCCCUGGACAGUUCCCUUUGCUUCCUCUCUCAUCCCGCCUGAAGGGCACGUGGGCAGCGCAUGCAGCCCAGCUCCUCUCAGGACCCAACCAAAGCAAAUCAACAUCCUCUGCAGCUCAAGACUUGACAACUAAACACCAGGAAGAACUUCCAGAUGUCAGGAUUCGAGGCAAAGGAUGAGGACUACUGGUUUGCCUGUUUGUCCUUGGAGGCUGGAGGCCAGGUUAGUGAAGCAUGGGACCCCUAUCCCCCACCCAUCACCAACACCACACACUCAUGCACAUCCUUACACGCCUUUCCCUCUCAGGGACCCGUUGUUUCCAGACACCUUGCAUUUCUGUCUCAAAGGUGCUGGAGCCCAGGACCUCUGCAGCAGUGGCAGCUGAGUUUGAGAGGCUUAAAAACCGGAGCUAGGGAGGUGGUGACCAAGAAGGUCCCUUACAGGACUGAGAUGUCUAGGGUGGAUCAGGGUCUGGCCAGAGGCUGACGGCAGAAACUUUGGAGAGUCAAACAUCUGAGCCUUUGCAAGGGAGGACUGGGAAACCCUGGAGCCACUCCCUUGCCCUUUCUGGGGCUCAGGGUCCCCACUGUGGACAAUUGGGACUCCUCUGCUGAGACAUGGGGCAAAAAAAAAAAAAAGAAGACAGAGGUCAGUUCAGGGUGAAGGACCCUCACUGCUGUAGUUGUGUAGUUGUGCCAUGGAGGUAGUGAGUUCCUUGUUGUUGGGGCUUUGAAAGCAGGGGCUGAGCAGGACUGAGAGCAUGGCUGGGAGGGAGCAGCAGAUCUCCUUCUGGAAUUUCUUGUUCUCGUUUGGACACUAGUUGCUCCGUAUAGCCUCUUCGAAAGCUGGAAAGCCCUCCCCGGGUCUAUAUUCAGCCUUUCCUCCUCUGGCCUUCUUGCCUUCCUUUCUCCCAGAGUCUCUGUGACCUUCACAGCCUUGACUGCCAGGGUCAGAGGGGAGGCAGAGGAGGUGUUAAAGGAGGAGAACCAGUUCCACUCUGUGUUGGUCUCUUAGUUCUCAGUUAGGUUCGGAUAAUUAAGAUAAAUGAGGCUGGCUCCUCUCCUGGGUAGAUGAAGUUUGUUGGUGUUGGAGAGGGAGUGUAGGAGCUGGAUUCUGAUUGGUUGUUUGGCUUCCUGGAGGAGUUAGGAUUACAUGGGGGCUAAUACCCUACAGUUGUCACUCUGACCACUGUAUGCAAGACUGCUGUCUGCCUGCGGAUGGCAGCGGGCCAACUCCUUCCCUUGUAGCCACCUGCGCUCCACAGGUAAGGGUUCCAGGGACGGGCUGAGAGCCUGGCAGUGCCCGGCUGGCCCGCUUGUGUCCCACUCUGGGGGCCAAUUACGUCUCCAUCCCUAGCCGUGCCGAUUAACAGUUAAUAAGGCAGUAAACACCUGCAGCUACGGAGGCGAAUUAAGAGCAACAGUCGGCAUAAUACACAACCCGAUAAGUGAGCAAUUAACAACCAGAGAAAGAUUAAUAGAACCAAUUACGUCCUACUCAGAGCUCUGUAAAUACGACUGUCAAUGGCUGAGGGAUUCAGAGCAGUCCUGCCCAGCCCCACCCCAGGCCACAGCUUCGGAAGGGAGGGGAGCCAGCCCAGCCAGCCUGUGAACUCCAGACCCCAGAGCCAUAUACACACGAGAAAUGCACAUAUAUGCAAACACGCACACGGACAUAUACAGAUACACAUCUGUGGAGAGAUGGUCCACAAGAUGCAGGCACAUGAUACACAAGUCCCCUACUGUCAUCCACACUCACAAAAAUGUGUACACAGAGGUACACAUAAGUUCUGCCAGAAAUACGCAGAGAUCCAGAAAAAUACCCGCAAAGGGACACUUGCGUGUUUUGCACAGAGCUAGAGCCACAUAGACUACAAGACACACAGUGACACGUGUACAAAUUUGCACACGUAGAUACACACAGCUAUCUACUCAUGGAGUCCCCUAUACAUGUGGCCCUCCUUUGAUGCCCACCUUGCAAAGGGUCAUCUACAAGAGAGCUGCAGCAGGGAAUCGGACUGAGCAUGGAACAAGGGCGGGAAGGGACAGAAUGUGUGUGCACACACACAUGCAAGCAUGUCUGCAAGCAUGUAAUAAGCAUGUGUGUCCUUGCAACUCAUGGGCAUGUUCUCGUGUGUAAAUAGGCAUGCACCUUACAUCUGUGUGCCUGUGUGAAUGUUUGUGUGUCAAAAUGUACGCGUGGGUGUAUGUACAUGUGCUUGUGUCCAGUGGAUCUGUGACUGUCAUGUGGGCUUCUGGUUCACAAGUGACCCUGUGCCAGUGUUCAUGUCUGGGUCGCCAUGUGUCACUACUUGAGAGUGGCUUUACGUGUGUCCUGCCUCUGUGCUGUGGCAGGUGAGGGGGGUCCCCAUGGGAUGCUCCCCAGGGAGCCUGGGAGCUCUGAUGGCACCUGAAACUGGGGCCCACCUCUAGGAAACAAGGGUUUAGGACUCCUAGGGCCCACUUGGUUUUCCCAAGAGGGACUUCCAGCCCAUCUAGUGGGAUUCAGCACCACUGGGCCACCCAGGUCGAGGAAGAGAAAUGAGAAUCGUUUCUAAAGAAAUGGACCUGGAGGUUAAUUUCUCUGAACUGAAAGCUAAGAAUGGGUACCUUUGUCUCAAGGCCAUUGCGCCUGUCCCCACCAGACCUGACCCUCCCCUCUCCCAUCUCUGCCUGGGAACUUCCAAUGGAAAACCUACAGAGCCAAGACCCAAACGCUUUGCCCAUAUUCUGGGACAUACAUCGUCAUACACAGAAACCCCAGCCCCCAAGGAUCCAAUCAUGUGGCCAUACAAACAUAGACAGUCACGAAUGCAAACGUAAAAUUCUACCCACGGUCAACCUAGCCGCCCACAGACAGUGUCACCACACAGGAAAUCACAUACAUACGCACACACACACCUGCACUCCCACAUGCCCCUACGCCCAUUACUCUCUGCGAUGAGCCCAGUGCCAAGCUGGAGGGCCCAGGGGGCAUCCUGUGACAGGUCCCCCCAUCUCCUUCAAUACCAGCCUGGCCAGAUGGUGGAGGCUGCCGGGGCCCCAGGAGAGCUCUCUAUCACUGCUAACCCGCCAGUUGACAGGCGGGCGCGCUGAGGCCUGGCCCGGCCAGAGAGGGGCAGGGGUGGAAAUAAGGAGGUAAUGAAGCUCGCCAGCCAGCACCCUCCACACCCUGCACCCCAGACCUGGAUGGUGCCUGCCCCAGGGCCUUUCGUUGUUGGGCAGGGAGGAACUUCUGAGCAGGGACGCACAGGCACAGAGAUUCGUGGAUUCAUACAGAGCCACUCUCACACACUCAGGCUUCCACAGGGCACAGAAGGACCCAGACGCAGGCAGGCACCUCCUCUAGCACCCACAGGUACAGCUACCCCGUCCCCAGGCAGCAGCCACUCAUCAACGCCAGGGCUGACUUUGCAGAAAGCCUGGCCAGGCCCCUAGCCCCCCUCUGCCUCCUACCAUCUAAUGAAAGCAAACAAGAAACGGAUCUGUGGGCCCCCAAAGCCAAAACAUCUGCUGUAGCUCUGUCCUUCUGUCAGUGAAUCCAGCCUUCUUUUGACGAUUAGUCAUUUGAUUUUUGUUUUUCAUUCAUUCACUCAACCAGUGUUCACUCAUUCAUUCGGCCCAUAAGGACAUUAAACAAACCAUUAUAUUCAGUCCAGUGACCUGGCUGUCCUCCUAGCAUCUGGCAUCCUGGCAUCCUGGCCUGGGGGUAUGGUAGCUGGGGAGGGAAACAAGGGGGGAGUCUGGGCUCAGAGGGAUGGGGGCGGGGAGUGGAAGGGAUGUCCCCAUCCCUUACUUUCUCAGUCUCUCAAAGUGAAAGAAAAGGUGCUUCUUUUGCAGCUGGAGGGAAAAAAGCCAAAUCCCGGGAUAAUAUAGAUAAUAAUAGUGAACACUUACAAGCCCUUACUCUGUGCCAGGCGCUGCUCUAAGUGCUUUACAUGAAUUAACUCAGUUCUUCCUCCUAACAGCUGCAUGAGGCAAGUACUAUUAUUAACCCCACUUGGGAGUGUAGGGAGGUUAAGUAACUUGCCCAAGAUCAAACAGCUUCUCAGAGCCACCCCGAAUGUUUACGAAGCCUAGGGCAAGAGUAUAACAGGAGACCCCUAGACCUCCACCCCCGCCCCCCUCCUCUUCCGUCUCUGGGCUCCAGGCAGCAGUGUGAGGGGCUUCGCGUGCAGGCCUGCGGAUGCCCCAACACUGGAGUCCCUGCUUGUUCCACGCUCCUGGUAAAUAGCCACCCUUCGGGCUUGAGGAGACAGAUGUGGAGAAGACGCCACCCAGGCCUUGGCAGCUGGCUUAGGGCUCCGGGGGCAGGGAAUUCUAGGGUCCUGUGUCGGGGUAUGGUCUAGCAGCGGGCUGGAGCACCAGGUGGGGACAACCCUGUGGGCCUUCGGACCUUGAAAUUCUUCAUCCCAUGCAGAAGAGGGUCGUCCGAAGUAGAGGGGGAGGGCAGGGGCCUCCAUUGCCCAGGUCUGAGAGUAUUGGAGCUGGUAAGUGGUGGUCCAGGGUACCAUCCCAGGCACUCUGGCUAGUUCAGCUCUUAACUAGACUGGUAGGGGCUGAGGGGCCAGGGGGCUGACAGGAGGGGCAGAACUAGCUGAGUGUUAACUUCCCCACCCCUACUCCCAGUUCUGCUCUUACCAAAUUCAGGCCAUUUCUCCCAAGGGGACUGACUGCUCUGUGCCCAGCUUUCAGAUUGACUCAAUCUUGUUGCCCCUCCAAUCGCACUCCCACUGACAUCCCCACCCCUCUGGCCCUGGCAUUAAGGAAGAUAUGGAGGCUCCCAGAUUAAAUGUGGACCUGGACCAGCCACACCAGUGCACCCAGCUCCCUGCCUCUGUUUCCCUGGCCCCCAAAUUACCGGCUCCCUCUCCAGAGGCUUUUUCACACAAUUACUCAGGCUAGGAAUUUUGAUCCCCGGUGCCAGCUAGACCCUUGUUAUGCAAAUAUAGGCAAAUGAGAUGCAAACAGAGCCGGCCCAGAUUAACAGAGAAAUCCCCAGCAGCUGGAGGAGUCACCGAAAAGUCAACUCGCUGGAGCAAGCUUUCCCCAAACCCCCUUAUCCAGUCUCUGUCCACCUGGAUCUGUCUGGUCCCUCCCUGUCCUUGCCACCGCUCUCCUGCCCUGCUCAGGAGCUAACUGCUCAAACUUAGGGAGGGUCUGGAAAAGGGGGGACACCAAGGCAUAGACUCUCUACCACCUUUCCAGUUUGAGAUCUCUGUUCUCCCCCCAUUUUUAAGAGAUCCAGGCAUGGGUGGAGGUUAGGGGUAGGGGUGGUGAGUGGGGCUGGGAGAGAGGGAGAACUCUGUUUUCCCUCUGUGGAAAGGGUAAUAUUCUCUCUCUCUCUCUCUCUCUCUCUCUCUCACACACACACACACACACACACACACAGAGACACGCACACACGCACACAGAGUUGACCUGGGAGUUACCCCUAAGAUGCACACACAUAUACCCCAUAUACCACCUCACGAAUCUGGCCAAGGUCCACCCUCUCCUUCUUCCCUCAACACACUGUAAAUUAAGCCACAGACAUCAACACACUGCAGUGGGAGGGUAGGCUGUGUCCCCCAUUCCUGGGUCCUGGAGGUUAGAGGGUACAGCAGGUGGGACCCUGGGUCUGUGUGAAGACAGAAGGGAGUAGAAGAUCCUAUCCAGGGCAUGACCCUGGGGAAGGAGGCUGGGGGUGUGUGGAAGAAGCCUGGCAUGGGCAGUGCCCACCAGAACCCCCUGGGGGGGCUGAGGCUGGUGUCUAUAUCUUCAGGCCCUGCCCAAGGGAGCCAGGCCCGCUGGCCGGCCCAACCAGCCCAGGCCCAACUUCUAAAAAUAAGAGCCGAGAAUCUAAGCUCCUGGUUGGUUGUACAGGAGCCUGUUGCCUUGGCAACCCCUUCUCAGAGGCCUCCCUCCCGGCUGCCCCGUUUGGCUGCUGGUCCCUGUGCCAGUCCCCUCUGCUGGCCCCUCUGCCAGCCCUCUGUCUGUCCCCCUGGGGAGGGAGGACGGCUGUGGGGCGGGGGGGUGGAGCGGUCGGAGGACCUGGGGACUCUAGCUGAGCCCGAGGGCCUGAGUGUGAGACCUGUCUGGGGCUGUGUCGGAGGCUUGUCUGAUGGUGGGUGUGUGACCGUGUGUGCGACAGGCCUGCAUCUAACAGCCUGCGUCAGGCUGUCUCUGUGUACAUCUCUCCUGUGACUUGACUCUCAGAGUCCCCGUGGGUGACUGUGCUCUCUCUCUGUGGAUCUGGGUCUAUGUGUGUGACGGUAUUAUGUCCCAAGGGAAGAUCUGGCUGUCUGCUCCUGCCUGUGCCCACCCCCACUGCCUGUGGGCUUUCCCUUCACCCUGCCCGCCUCCACUUUCUGGGGGUGCAGGCUGGGAGUACAGAGGCACAUGGGUGCCCGGGGUGAGCCAGAGGUCAAGUGUGGUGACUGGGCCAAGUUCAGCCUCUUCUAGGGUCUGCAGGUAAAUAUCAAAUAAGGCUCAAAUCUGACCCUCCGGGCGGGGGGGGGGGGGGGUUGGGGGUGCAAUUCACUCCUGAAACCGUGUGAUCUAAAUUUCUGAGUGUGUGCCUGUAUGUGUGUGUGCUGUAGUCCCUGUCAGAGGCAGAGCCUCCCCUCCCCCACCUGGCCUCCCCUCUCCAAUUAAUCACCAAGUCCUGUCAAAUCUCAUCAUCACUGCUCUAGCUAGCUCUCGCUCCUCCUCUCUUCCUCUCUGCCACCCGCACCCAGCCCGGGCCAGACCCCUCCCUCACCCAGGCAACGCAACAGCCUCCUAUCAGCGCUCCCUACCUUCCAGACUCCAGGUCGAGCCUCGCCCUCUCUCCUGUGCCCCCAUCCCCUCCUCCAUUCAGUGGCCACAAUGACGAUCCUUUAAAACACAACUCAGAUUCUGUUACACCCCCUGCUUGGAUCUUUGUUCUCAGAGCAAAGCACCAGCUCCUCAGCUCGGUCUUCUAGGCUUUCCCCAGUCUGGUCUCUGCUCACUGCAUGGGUUUUACCUGUUGCCCCUUCACCCAGCCCCACGAGCAACUAAGAGUUUCCAGAAGAGAUCGGGAUCUCUCUUGCCUCUAUGCCUUUGCACAUGGUUUCCUAGCCUAGAACCAGUCUUCUGACUCUUGGAAUGAUAAAUAAAGGUUAUGUGUUCUGAGAGUUAGUACAGUCAUCACCUCUACCAGGAAGCCUUCCCUGACUAGGAUUAGGGACCUCUGUGUUCUCAUGACAUCCUGGGCUGCACCCGACCCCCCUACAUUGCUUGCAUUUUUUGACUUUUUCCCACAGAUUUGGAGGAGACUUAGAAAAAACAAAAAAGUACCAACUGAAACAAAAAAAAAAAUCACCCCAAACCCUCUCAGAUUAACUCUUGGUUUAUUUCCUUCCAGACUUUAUUUAAAUGAAUUAAUUUUUUUUUUAUGAAGUGAAGAGCAUCCUAUAUGUAUGGUUUUGUUUAACUUAUUAUAGAGUGAGCAUUUUCCCAGGUUAUUAAAAAUUCUUCAAGAACAUGACUUUGAAUGGUUGCAUAAUAUUCUUAUAUAUGGAUGUAUUGUAACUUAUUUAACCAACCCUCAACUGCUAGACAUUUACAUUGGUUGUGAUUUUUCAGUUAUAGAUAAUGGCAAUAAACAUUCCU